ACUUGCAGAUGGACCCGCGGCGCAUUAGCUAGUUGGUGAGGGAUGCUUGGAUAACGGCUCACCAAGGCGACGAUGCGUAGCCGACCUGAGAGGGUGAUCGGCCACACUGGGACUGAGACACCCAGUCGAGACUCCUACGGGGCAGCAGUAGGGAAUCUUCCGCAAUGGACGAAAGUCUGACGGAGCAACGCCGCGUGAGUGAUGAAGGUUUUCGGAUCGUAAAACUCUGUUGUUAGGGAAGAACAAGUACCGUUCGAAUAGGGCGGUACCUUGACGGUACCUAACCAGAAAGCCACGGCUAACUACGUGCCAGCAGCCGCGGUAAUACGUAGGUGGCAAGCGUUGUCCGGAAUUAUUGGGCGUAAAGCGCGCGCAGGCGGUUUCUUAAGUCUGAUGUGAAAGCCCCCGGCUCAACCGGGGAGGGUCCCAGUCGACUGGGGAACUUGAGUGCAGAAGAGGAGAGUGGAAUUCCACGUGUAGCGGUGAAAUGCGUAGAGAUGUGGAGGAACACCAGUGGCGAAGGCGACUCUCUGGUCUGUAACUGACGCUGAGGCGCGAAAGCGUGGGGAGCGAACAGGAUUAGAUACCCUGGUAGUCCACGCCGUAAACGAUGAGUGCUAAGUGUUAGAGGGUUUCCGCCCUUUAGUGCUGCAGCAAACGCAUUAAGCACUCCGCCUGGGGAGUACGGUCGCAAGACUGAAACUCAAAGGAAUUGACGGGGGCCCGCACAAGCGGUGGAGCAUGUGCCAGCAUUCGAAGCAACGCGAAGAACCUUACCAGGUCUUGACAUCCUCUGACAACCCUAGAGAUAGGGCUUCCCCUUCGGGGGCAGAGUGACAGGUGGUGCAUGGUUGUCGUCAGCUCGUGUCGUGAGAUGUUGGGUUAAGUCCCGCAACUUAGUCAACCCUUGAUCUUAGUUGCCAGCAUUCAGUUGGGCACUCUAAGGUGACUGCCGGUGACAAACCGGAGGAAGGUGGGGAUGACGUCAAAUCAUCAUGCCCCUUAUGACCUGGGCUACACACGUGCUACAAUGGGCAGAACAAAGGGCAGCGAAGCCGCGAGGCUAAGCCAAUGCUCCGAAAUCUGUUCUCAGUUCGGAUCGCAGUCUGCAACUCGACUGGUGAAGGCUGAUUGAUGCUUUAGGCUAUCGCUAGUAAUCGCGGAUCAGC
rnacentral:rRNA from 1 species